rnacentral:lncRNA from 1 species
UCCCUCUCUUCUCUCUCUUUUUUCUCUUUCCUCUUUCACUCUUUCUUUCUUUCUUUCUGUUUUUCUCUCAAGUUGGAUUAAGAUAUUUAUGGAAGAGAAAUUCAUGGGACUUGAUGGUAGACCCCUCAUGAAUCCAAGUAAAGGGUUUUGGAGUGGCCUCAUAUUGCAUGUUGUGUUCUAUUCGAUCAAUAUCGGGCAUCUUUGUACCUUAUCAUUAAUGACCCU